rnacentral:rRNA from 1 species
GACGUAGGGCGCAAGCGUUGUCCGGAAUUAUUGGGCGUAAAGAGCUCGUAGGCGGCUUGUUGCGUCGACUGUGAAAAACCACGACUCAACCGUGGGACUGCAGUCGAUACGGGCAGGCUAGAGUUCGGUAGGGGAGACUGGAAUUCCUGGUGUAGCGGUGAAAUGCGCAGAUAUCAGGAGGAACACCGGUGGCGAAGGCGGGUCUCUGGGCCGAUACUGACGCUGAGGUGCGAAAGCGUGGGGAGCAAACAGG